rnacentral:rRNA from 1 species
GAUGAACGCUGGCGGCGUGCCUAAUACAUGCAAGUCGAGCGAACGGACGAGAAGCUUGCUUCUCUGAUGUUAGCGGCGGACGGAUGAGUAACACGUGGAUAACCUACCUAUAAGACUGGGAUAACUUCGGGAAACCGGAGCUAAUACCGGAUAAUAUUUUGAACCGCAUGGUUCAAAAGUGAAAGACGGUCUUGCUGUCACUUAUAGAUGGAUCCGCGCUGCAUUAGCUAGUUGGUAAGGUAACGGCUUACCAAGGCAACGAUGCAUAGCCGACCUGAGAGGGUGAUCGGCCACACUGGAACUGAGACACGGUCCAGACUCCUACGGGAGGCAGCAGUAGGGAAUCUUCCGCAAAGGGCGAAAGCCUGACGGAGCAACGCCGCGUGAGUGAUGAAGGUCUUCGGAUCGUAAAACUCUGUUAUUAGGGAAGAACAUAUGUGUAAGUAACUGUGCACAUCUUGACGGUACCUAAUCAGAAAGCCACGGCUAACUACGUG